CCUGCUCUCUGACAUUGUGUCACACAAAGAAAAAUGCCUGAAGAAGUUCCUGCUCAGUGCAAGGCUCCCAAAGAUGAGCUGGACAAAUGUGUUCAGGGGAAGGGUGCAGAGGGCUGUAAGGAGCUGCUGGAAUCUUUUGAGGCCUGUGUGAAGGGGGCCACGACAACCUCGUGAGGGGACAUGCAUUUACAUGGCCAUCCUUUCUGGGUCCUCCAGUGUCCUUGCAUUCCCUCACAUUGCACUGGACUAAACCAUUCUAAGGACAGUGAAAGGGGUGCAAGUGCUGGAAAGCAGUGGAAAUGUUUCUUUUGAUCCUGGGAAGUCUUGUUGGUGUCCCUCAUGUUGUCCAUGAUAUCUGUAACUGUGGAAGAAAGAAGAACCCAGUUUUAUUAUUAUUUUCCAGAUUUCACACUGUAAAAAAACAC